rnacentral:lncRNA from 1 species
CCUUCAUGGCCAUGCUUUUUGAAGGACUUGGAUUGAUCAGCUGUCAACAAGGAAGGGUCAUGGGGACAAGUCACAAGUGGCAUCGUGAUGUGAUGUCUCUAUGGGGAAUUGAACUUAGAGCUGUAGCCUUUCUCUGGAACAUGCAUUUUACCUUCCGUGCGUAGAUUCUGUGCACUGGAUUAGAAGUCCUUAACAGUAUUUCUCCAGAAAUGACCCCAGUCUUGCAGAAGCUGACCUUGAGAAUCUGUAGAGGUGACUUGGACUUGAGUUAUCAAGGUGGUAGAGUGUGGCGGUGAAGCAUGUGGGUCAACUCCUAACUCUACUACUAACUAGGAUGGCUAACCUGGCAAGGUCCGUACUGUUUUGUACCUCCAUGUUCUCAUCUUCUUAUUGGGGAUGAUGAUGGUAAAACAUGCUUUACAGGUUUAUUGGGAAGAUUAAACAAGUUAAUAGCAGAGUGUGAAGAACACUGCCUGACAUGUGGUGUACACCAACCUGGGCUAGUUAGUGAUGCCAUCGAAGUGGCUGUGACAGUUCCAAACAGCAAUAGAACCACGUACUGGAGUUCCAGUGUCACACACUUGCCUUUUAAAAGCUGCCUAAUGUUUUCCCCGGUCAUCUUCAGAGACACUCAGAGUCAGGUCCAUGUAUACACAUUCCUUCCUUUGUGCUAUAUCAGAAAGAAAGGAGUUGGGUAUGGUUCCAAAUGAGGGGGAGGAAGCAAAGGAGAUAAAGUUUUCUGUGUAGACAAGUCAGCUCUUCUAAAUGGUCUGUCUGAUCCUAAGAAGAGCAGCUGUUCCAUCUCCACAGGACCAGCCCUUGAUCCCUCCCACCAAAGUUUGCGGGGGAAUCCUGGUCAUGCUUUUUGACUUUGCUUGUAGGUUCUGCUCAGCCUCACUCUCACCUGCCCCGAUGUCUCUUCACACUCCUCCUGACGGUUUCUGGAUGGCCUUUCCAAUGCUUUUUUGGGUGAAUGGUUUAAUCUAAGUAUAACAUACAUGGAGAACAAUGCAUGCAUCAUGCUGAAUUAUUACAGUCAGCACAUGAAACCCAGAUAAAGACUUUGAGCAAUACCAGCACCCAAUAUACUCCCUUUGUGUCUCCUCCGAAGCAUCACCUCCUCCAAAGGUAGCCACCAGUCUCCUUUCCCUUACAACAGACUAUUUUUUUGCCAAUUUUAUUACACUUUGGAUAAAUGGAACCACACAGUAUUUAGUCUUUUUGUUUGUUUGGGCAGUGCCUGUGGCAUGUAGAAGUUCCUGGACCAGGGAUUGAACCUGUGAUAAUGCCAGAUCCUUGAUCUGCUGAGCCACCAGGGAACUCUCAGUUUGUAGUCUUUUGGGCUUAGCUUCUUUUUUUUUUCCCCUCUCUUGUUAGGGCUGCACCCACAGCAUAUGAAAGUUCCUGGCCUAGUGGUUGAAUUGAAGCUGCAGCUGCCAGCCUGUGCUGCAGCCACAGCAAUGACAGAUCUGAGCCAUAUCUGUGACCUCCACCACAGCCUACAGCAAUGCUGGAUCCUAACCCACUGAACGAAGCCAGGGAUCGAACCUGCAUCCUCAUGGAUACUAUGUCAGUUUCUUAACCUUCUGAGCCACAGUGGGAACCCCUGAGCUAGGCUCCUUUUGCUUAGUAUUCCUUCUAUGAGAUUCCUCUGUGUUGUGGUUUUUUUCUUUUCCAUCACUGUAGAGCUCUAUUGUAAAAAUAUAUUCAUGAAUUUUAUUUAUUCAUCCAUUCUCCCUUUAUAGAUAUCUGAGUUGUUUUCAGUUUUGGACUAUUAUGAAUAAUGGUGCCAUGAACAUGUCUUUUGGCAAAUUAUGUUGUCAUACCUAUGCAGCUAGGUACAGAAUUGAUGGGUCAAAUAUAUACUGAUGCUCAACCUCAGUGAAUAUUGCCUAACAGUUGCCUAAAUGGUUGAACACUGCCAUUUUUUAACAGAGUUUUUUGAAUGUUAAUCUGAAUGAGUUCUUCAUAUAUUUUGAAUAUUAAUCCCUUAUCAACUAUAUCAUUUGCAGAUAUCUUCUCCCAUUUAGUAGGCAGCCUUGUCAUUUUGACGGUAGUCUCUGUCACUGUGCAAAAGAUUUUUAGUUUGAUGUAGUCCCAUUCGUUUAUUUUUGCUUUUGUUGCCUUGCCUGAGGAGACAUAUCCAAAAAAUUAUCGCUAAGAGUGAGGUCUAAGACUGUUCUGCCUAUGUUUUCUUCUAAAAAUUUUAUGGUUUCAGGUCUUACAUUUAAGUCUUUAAUCCAUUUGGAGGUUAUUUUUGUAUAUAGUGUGAGAAAGGGGUCCAAUUUUACCCUUUUACAUGUAGCUGUCCAAUUUUCCCAACACCGUUUAAUUGAAGAGGCCAUCUUCCCCAUUGUCCACACCAAGACACACUGUAAUUAAAAUGGUGAUCAUUAAAGAUAAAGAGAAACAAGGGAAAAAAUGCUUACGUGGAGACUAAACAACAUGCUACUAAAAAAAGGGGGGGGGGCAGUGAUGAAUUCAAAGAGGAAAUAAAGAAUCAUUAAAGCAGCAAGGGAAAAGCAACUUAUUAUGUACAAGGAAACUCCCAUCAGACUGUUGGCUGACUGUUCAGUAGAAAUUUUGCAGACCAUAAGGGAAUGGCAGAAUAUGGGUGGGUAAACCCAUGGUCUUAAUAGGCUAGAGGAAGAACCCAAAGUGGCACUUGCCAGCACCAGUGUCCUUGUAGAAUGAGCUCCCCAAAAUGGCUGCUGUAAGCAUCUAGGUCCCCGUGAGGAGUCCCCCUUGCCUCCCACCUUUCUAAGAGGUUCUCCAAGAUUAGCAAGUGGGUUUAACCCAGGUUUCUUUCAAAAUACUGCUUCUGUGCUGGGUCUUGGAGUAUAUGAAAUUUUGUAUGAGCUCUUUAAGAGCAGAGGCUCUGUUUCCUACAGCCCUCAGGCUCUCCCAUGUGGAAGCCCCACUGACCUUCAAAGUCAGACGAUCUGAAGGCUCACCUUCCUGGUGCAGACCUAGGGUCUGGAAAGCCUGAUGUGGGGCUCAGACCCCUUGCUCUUUGGGAAAAAACUCUGAAAUUAUGAUUAUCCUCUCAUUUGCAGGUCACCUAUCCAAGGGUAUACCACUAAGGGUGUUAUACUGCAUCUCCACCCCUCCUACUUAUCUCGCUGUGGUUCCUUCUUUAUAUCUUUAAUUAUGGAAAAUACUUUCAUCUAGUCUUCAGGAUUUUCUCAUCAAUAGUUGUUCUGUAAAUUGUUGUAAUUUUGGAGUGCCCAUGCGAGGAGGUGAGCUCAGUUUCUUCUUACUCCACCAUCUUGGCUAUUCCCCUGAAAUGGAACUGAUUUUUGAACAUUGUGUAUCAUGUACCUUGCUGACUUGUUUAUUUGUUGCAAUAGAUUUUUUAGUUGUUGUAUAUAUAAUAUAUAUAUAUAUAUAUUAGGAAUCCUAAACAAUCUAUAUAUGAAUAUAUAUAUGAAUAAUUAUGUCACUUGCAAAUUGAAAUAAUUUUACUUCUUUCCGAUUAGAUAUCUUCUAUUUCUUUUCUUCAUGCUGCAAGCCUUUUAUUAACUUCCAGAAAUCUGAAAAAGUUGAUUUGGAGAAAUUUUGCCAGUUUUUUUUAUUGCUUCUUUGGAGGGGCAAAUUUUUGGAAGUAUUUACUCCAGUACUUUUGCUGAUAUCACUUUAGUCUUUUAAUUGGAACUUUUGUUUUAUUUCCAUUUUAUGUAAUUAUGUCACAUGUUAUAAUUUGUUUUUAAUUUGUAAUCUGUUUUAUGUUUCUUUUUCUCUCCUUUCUUGCUUGCUUUUGUAUUAAUAAAAUAAUUUUAUUGUCCA